GACGUAGGGCGCGAGCGUUGUCCGGAUUUAUUGGGCGUAAAGAGCUCGUAGGCGGUCUGUUGCGUCCGCUGUGAAAACUCGGGGCUUAACCCCGAGCCUGCAGUGGAUACGGGCAGACUAGAGUGAUGUAGGGGAGACUGGAAUUCCUGGUGUAGCGGUGAAAUGCGCAGAUAUCAGGAGGAACACCGAUGGCGAAGGCAGGUCUCUGGGCCACUACUGACGCUGAGAAGCGAAAGCAUGGGGAGCGAACAGG
rnacentral:rRNA from 1 species